GGGUGUGAUCAUACCAGCAGUAAUGCAUAGGAUCCCAUCAGAACCCCGUAGUUAAGCGUGGUUGCGAGAUAGUAGCACUAUGAUGGGUGACCUUCCGGGAAGUCCUCGUGUUGCACAUC
rfam:Gossypium hirsutum cultivar TM-1 unplaced genomic scaffold scaffold4672.1, whole genome shotgun sequence